UCCCUGGUAGCUUAGAUGGUAAAGUAUCUGCCUGCAAUGCAGAAGACCUGGGUUCAAUCUCUGGGUCAGGAAG
rfam:TPA: Bos taurus chromosome 14, whole genome shotgun sequence.